rnacentral:snoRNA from 1 species
AAUGAAUUAAUUCACCAUGUGUUCUUAUUGGCGUCACCCAUCGUGAUAUCUUCUAUAUGAUGGGUUUUAGAUACCUGAUAAGGCUGAUUCUCCCUUUUUUUGGGAGUCAGCGUAAGUGACACAUGUCAGAUUGAUAUUUCAGAAGAAUGUAUCUCCAGCUGUUGAUAAAUGGAAAGAAAGCCUUUCUCUUUCUUUUCGACCCAAUCAAAUCCUGAUACAGUUGGUCAUGAUUUCUUCUACAUCU